rnacentral:rRNA from 1 species
GAUGAACGCUGGCGGCGUGCCUAAUACAUGCAAGUCGAGCGAAUGGAUUGAGAGCUUGCUCUUAUGAAGUUAGCGGCGGACGGGUGAGUAACACGUGGGUAACCUGCCCAUAAGACUGGGAUAACUCCGGGAAACCGGGGCUAAUACCGGAUAACAUUUUGAACCGCAUGGUUCGAAAUUGAAAGGCGGCUUCGGCUGUCACUUAUGGAUGGACCCGCGUCGCAUUAGCUAGUUGGUGAGGUAACGGCUCACCAAGGCAACGAUGCGUAGCCGACCUGAGAGGGUGAUCGGCCACACUGGGACUGAGACACGGCCCAGACUCCUACGGGAGGCAGCAGUAGGGAAUCUUCCGCAAUGGACGAAAGUCUGACGGAGCAACGCCGCGUGAGUGAUGAAGGCUUUCGGGUCGUAAACUCUGUUGUUAGGGAAGAACAAGUGCUAGUUGAAUAAGCUGGCACCUUGACGGUAUCUAACCAGAAAGCCACGGCUAACUACGUGCCAGCCGCCGCGGUAA